rnacentral:misc_RNA from 1 species
ACGCGGCGGCGGAGACCGUCCCGUGCCGGCCGCCCAAGGCAGUGCCGUACUCCUCGCGAGCGCGGACCAGCAGCGGUUAGACCGGAGCGACAAGGCGACAGCGGAAGGUGAGUCGAUGAGGGCACGUCUCGCAUCGACAGCUUACAGCCCUGGCGUACGAUGCUCCGGUGCGACCGAGGAACAUGGGCAGCCCUUGCCCGCCGUGGCGCACGCCGCAUGGCGGGGCCUCCCGACGCGAGUGAACCGUGCGGUGUGGACUGCGUGCAGUGCUCACCGUGGCGGAGAUCUCGCGCCGGAGAGCGCCACUUGUGCGCCAUCGCUGCUGGUAGUCGGAU